CUACGGGCUGCUCCAGUGGGGAAUCUUGGACAAUGGGCGCAAGCCUGAUCCAGCCAUGCCGCGUGAGUGAAGAAGGCCUUAGGGUCGUAAAGCUCUUUCGCCAGAGAUGAUAAUGACAGUAUCUGGUAAAGAAACCCCGGCUAACUCCGUGCCAGCAGCCGCGGUAAUACGGAGGGGGUUAGCGUUGUUCGGAAUUACUGGGCGUAAAGCGCGCGUAGGCGGAUUAGUCAGUCAGAGGUGAAAUCCCAGGGCUCAACCCUGGAACUGCCUUUGAUACUGCUAGUCUUGAGUUCGAGAGAGGUGAGUGGAAUUCCGAGUGUAGAGGUGAAAUUCGUAGAUAUUCGGAGGAACACCAGUGGCGAAGGCGGCUCACUGGCUCGAUACUGACGCUGAGGUGCGAAAGUGUGGGGAGCAAACAGGAUUAGAUACCCCCGUAGUC
rnacentral:rRNA from 1 species